AGAUCCAGACAGUGCGGUUACUGUCUGUAGUGUUUUAUUUAUCUGCCACCGUGCGGCACCUUAAGAUGAACGCGGCGCUCCUGCAUUGUUUACGAGCGCGCGCGUAAGUUCGGCGCGGUCACGUGACUCGCGCGGAGAAUGCCAGCACUGCCCGCUAUUCCGGCGCAGCAGCAACUGAGAAAAAUAAACCGUCCUUUGUGUACUUAGAGUUGCUUAACAUCGGGCUUUUGCCUUUUAUUUGUCAGUAUAACUGCCGUAAAAAAAUCUGACAUAAAAAACAAUUAAAGGACAUUCUCUUAGUCUGAGAAUUUACUAUUCUUGCUGGUGUGGCACCAAAACAAGAUGGUCUCAACAUGGAAAACAAGUUAAUCAACUGAAUAUUAGAGGCAAUGACCAGGAAGAAACCAGAUGAGCUGACCUAGGGAAGCCUGCACAGAGAAUGUGGUCCUGUCACUGGCAAGAUGGCUGAUAAAUCCUGGUGGAAUGAGCAAGACAUGUCUGGGAUGGCCAACCCCCAUCUAUUCAACAAGUACACAUACCACAAUUCUUUUUCUUUCUGUUAAAGCUAAUGUUAACCAGCAAAACCAUGUAUAAAAUACAGUUGUAUGUGCUGUACUUCCCAUCUAAAUCUUGCUGUUGUAGGAUCUGUCCCCAUAAUUUUUGGCUUCACAAAUUCUGAAAUUGUGAAAAUCAUGUCUCUCUUGGUGGACAGAUGUGCUCCGGUUGUGAUAUUAUGGGUUUCUGACCUGAUGUGACCUUUAGCGGAAGGUUGGGUGUGCAAAAUUAAGGCUACAAAAAAGGUAUGCAUUCAUUUUAUCUUUGGCGAACAGUAGCAGCCAGCGUGGGCUGGUGGUGGGGACUAGGAACAUAUCGCUAUUGUUCUCUAGUACCACUAAUUCUAUGCCUUAAUCAUGCAAAAUAUGGUACAUAGCACAUCAUGUUCAUACAGAGCAGACAACAGAUUAGUUUGCAUAAGCAAGUUUUCUGGGAAAAAUCUUCAAUAUGAAUUUUGUAUAUUUUUAAUAAGCUCAUAUAACAUGACCACUUUGCCUUGAUCAUGAUUGAUAUGAGAAGGUAAUAUGCUGUUGCCCCCAUGUAGAUAUUAAAUUCAAUUCUGCUUCAGUCGUAUCCCACAGAUAAACCUCCAUUCCUAUGUGUAGCAUUAAAUAUGCAACACUUAUUCAGUAGUACGAUUCUGAUGUUAAUUAGUUAAGAUAUGAUUUGAAAGUCUUGGGUUGAAAGCGAUUGUCAGUAUAAAGGGAGAGGCAUUGCUUUGUACUUUUUUAGUGCUUGUUUUGUGUCAUGAAUCCAUAUUUGAACCAGCUCCACGUGAAGCACCCUAAUCUGUCUUUACAACGGGAAUGUGCAAUGUUUUCUUUAAUAUAAAUAUGUAUAAAUUUGAUUGUGAAACAAGUGACAAGUUGUUUGACAACAACAAAAUCACCAACGUCUUCCAUUAAAAGAUGUAUAGUCCCAUGUGCAUUAGCUUACUAGCAGGAGCGUAGCACCAGUGUUAAAACUGGCCAUGCAUGAGGUAGUAAUGCUUGCUCAAUAAAAUACUCAUACAAUUAUUCACAAUGUAAAAAAAUGAGACAAGAGAGAUUCUACUCUGCAUAAAGGAAAGUACUAACCAGGAUGCAGUGUGUAUUCUCUUGACCGUCUAAAACUAGAUUUCAAGGAGGAAUUCCACACUGUAGUUUCUUAAACCUUGACAAAUGUGGUAGUCUUGCUAAUAGAAAUACAAUCUUUGGAUUCUCUAUUGUACAAUAUCAUUUUAAAUGUAAUUUUUUUUGUUUGUAUUAGGAAGUGCAAUCUCUUUGACAUCUCUGCAUCUGUAUAUUUCAUACAGUUGUGUCCCGAGACUUAAAGUUCAUUUAUAGUUAUUUAAAAACACAAGGGUUUUAAUUGGCAAAUCUGUAUAUUGAAAUGGAUUUUCCCAAACCUUUCAAAACAGGCAUGAAUAUGCACCCAAAGACACCCUUAAACGUUUGACUUUGAUAUAGACAGGCGAAAGUUUUAGAAUAUGAAACAGGAGUCUCAGACAUAUUCAGAGAUCCAUCUCUGGUGUUAGUAGAAUGGUAAUGUUUGACUAAAAGUUAUCGUCAAAAUAGUUUACUAUUAACACAGUUAUGCAUAGAAUUUAGAGUACAGUUAUGUUAAAACCACAGUCCUGUUUAUAUAUUGCAAUGUAGAUAAAUACCUCAAACUCUGGAAUGCAGAAUGUUUUGAUAGAAUAUCUAUUGCAGAUUAAGCCAUAAAAUAGAUAAUUAGAAGCAAUAAUGUUUAUGCAUGAUAUUGGUGUUGGAUCUGUUGAGUAGUGACUAAUUGUAGCUAUGGUGAAAUGGUUGUAGGGCGGAAAUAGAUUGUCUUGUGUAUAUUAAUUAAAAUUAGAAUGAAGGACAAAAAAACCUUAUAAGGACUUGGGAAAAAAAAAAUUUUUCCAACAAAACUUACUCCUCCAUUGUCCUUUAAAAAAGGGAUUGCCUUAGUUAACACUAUCCAAAUUAUGCUAACACAAAAUAUUAACUAUUGAACGGUUUCUUUUUUUAAACUUGAAUGAAGUAUAGACGUUGAAUUAACAUUAACUUACUUGUUAAACAAAAAUAAUGAUGUUGUAAGACGGUGUCUUCAAAGUCUGGAUGCCCCAGGGAAGUGGUGUCUCCUGGUAGAUAUUUAAAAAGUUGUAGACCUCAAUCCCAGCAACAAGGGGGACUGGCCUCCUGGCAUGUAGGCAUCCAUUUCUCCUGCAUGGACAUGGGUUGCUCCUCUAGUCUGCGCAUGCUGUUUGUCUGUCCUGAAUGGUUCCUGCACUCCAUUUCACAUCUCAUAGCCCCAUCGAUGCAGGACCGCGGCAUGUACUCCAGCUUCCAUGGAUAAACCUCGAUGUACUCGUCUGAAAAGGGUGCCGUGCUCUGAGAAAACACCCUUCCCCCCCACCGGUGCUAAACUUUGCCAGUCAGAGUUAUCUUUGACCUGUGUUCUAGUCUGAUUGUCCAGCUAAGGGUUAUUAUAAGGCUAUUAAGUCUAAGAUUUUGUUUGCAACGGUUUCAAACAUUUAUGCCACUGACCAGUUAAGUUUGUUUCAUUAAGGGAAAAUGUAUGCAGUGUAAACAAAGUAUGGUAUCUGACGAUGGAUUCGUAAUGUUUAAAUCUGAAAGACUUGGUGGUUACUAUUCAUUCGGCUUUCAGAAAAGCACUUGGCUGAGAGGUUAUAGACAGUAGGAAUAUCAACUUCAUGACAAAUGGUAUUCUGUAGUAUCAAGGAAUUAUUUUAACCCUUAUAUAUAUAUAUAUCUUGCAUGCUCUAGUCUAAAUUGUGCUUAGCAAGCUGUCAUUGAAAGCAAUAGGGUCUAUAGUGGUCUUAUUUUGCGUAAAGGUAUUCAGUUAUGGGAAAAAAUAUAUAUUCACCCUAAUAAAUUAGGAUUAAUAGCUAUUAGAAUACAACUAGCAUAAGUUUUUAUGCAGUUUGUUCAUUUUAGCCAAACUAAAAUGUUAUUAGUGAUAUUGCAGUUAUCGUGUGUACUCAGUCUUUUAGCCAACGUAUUAGUCUUUCAUUGGAAGUUUAUCAUUUUUAAAACGUCUAAAGGUUGAGAAUAGCUUACAAGGAAAAGAAUUAAUGCACAAAAUAUGCUACACAGUCCAAGGCUAUGGCUCCUUACUUAAUGCAUGAAAAAUAGGCAAAUAUAUUUUAAUGCAUGCAAUAAUUCACUUUAUAACAACUUAUUUUUUUAGUUGUAGGAUCCAAAUGAUGACAAAUUUAAAAUCGGCAAUUCACUGAUUCUUGUACUGUAAUUCCCAUAUCAGCAGAAAUAGCCCCACAAAUAUCAGAAAGUAUACAAAUCGUGCAACAGGCAUUAAAACUUAAAAUCUUAAAUCCUCUAAGUGCAAGUUACUGCUUAUCAAAUUAAAAUGGUUAAUAAAUUCAAUGGCCAACCAAUCAUGCCCUGAUUAUAAUGAAAGUUACUGCUGAAAUGAAGCCAAAUUUCCAUUUUCUUUUAGAGGAAAAACUGUUGUCAAUAAAACUGCAAAAAAAAAUUUACAAAAAAGAAAAUGGCUCAUGAACAUUUGCAAUUCCUAAAAUUUCAUAGGACAUUGCCAAUUACAGGAUUUAAUUUUUGUACUCGGUACCAGCAUGCAAGAGAAUUCUAAAAUACAGUGUUGAUAAAAUGCCUAAUGUGUUUUUUUACCUUUUGGAAGUGAAUUGGCCAACUUCAUUGUGAUUUUGGGUCUAAAAGUUACACUUGAAUAAUGGAUUACAAAUGGGAUUUUUACACUAACUGCUGUAACGGGAAACCAUGACUACUGAAAAUGUUGGCUGUAAAUAAGUAAACUAUGCAUUUCAGAAAUGACCGUGGGAGACACAGGGCAUGUUUUGUGGAGACUCUCUCUGGCUUUGUAAAACUGCGAACUCUGCACCCAGUAAUUUUAGCAAUAAAAGCAGCAUGGUGCCAAUUGCACAAAA